CCGGAUUGGAGUCUGCAACUCGACUCCAUGAAGUCGGAAUCGCUAGUAAUCGUAGAUCAGAAUGCUACGGUGAAUACGUUCCCGGGCCUUGUACACACCGCCCGUCACACCAUGGGAGUGGGUUGCAAAAGAAGUAGGUAGCUUAACCUUCGGGAGGGCGCUUACCACUUUGUGAUUCAUGACUGGGGUGAAGUCGUAACAAGGUAACCGUAGGGGAACCUGCGGUUGGAUCACCUCCUUA
rnacentral:rRNA from 1 species